CUAGCGACUUCAGAGUUUGAUCCUGGCUCAGGAUGAACGCUGGCGGCGUGCCUAACACAUGCAAGUCGAGCGGAGUCAUAAGUUGAUUCUUCGGAUGACUUUUUAUGACUUAGCGGCGGAUGGGUGAGUAACACGUGGGUAAUCUGCCCUGCACAGGGGGAUAACAGCUGGAAACGGCUGUUAAUACCGCAUAUGCACACGUUAUCGCAUGAUAGAGUGUGGAAAGAUUUAUCGGUGCAGGAUGAGCCCGCGUCGGAUUAACUGGUUGGCAGGGUAACGGCCUACCAAGGUGAUGAUCCGUAGCCGGCCUGAGAGGGCGACCGGCCACAUUGGGACUGAGACACGGCCCAA
rnacentral:rRNA from 1 species